GAACGCACCUUGCGCCCGUUGGUAUUCCGACGGGCAUGCCUGUUUGAGUGUCGUGAACAACCUCAACCUUGAUUGGUUUUACCAUCAAGGCUUGGACUUGGGUGUUGCUGCUGCAAAGUGGCUCGCCUUAAAACUAUUAGCUGGACUUGUCUAUGACUUGGUUCGACUCGAUGUAAUAAGUAUUCAUCGGGGACAGGGUUACACCUGGCCAAGGCUUGAUGCCGUCUGCUUCUAAUCAUGUUCUCACUAUGAGACGCUACUUUACUGUGUGGCCUCAAAUCAGGUAGGAUUACCCGCUGAACUUAAG
rnacentral:misc_RNA from 1 species